CCUACGGGAGGCAGCAGUGGGGAAUAUUGGACAAUGGGCGCAAGCCUGAUCCAGCCAUACCGCGUGGGUGAAGAAGGCCUUCGGGUUGUAAAGCCCUUUUGUUGGGAAAGAAAAGCAGCGGGCUAAUACCUUGCUGUUCUGACGGUACCCAAAGAAUAAGCACCGGCUAACUUCGUGCCAGCAGCCGCGGUAAUACGAAGGGUGCAAGCGUUACUCGGAAUUACUGGGCGUAAAGCGUGCGUAGGUGGUUGUUUAAGUCUGUUGUGAAAGCCCUGGGCUCAACCUGGGAACUGCAGUGGAAACUGGAUGACUAGAGUGUGGUAGAGGGUAGCGGAAUUCCCGGUGUAGCAGUGAAAUGCGUAGAGAUCGGGAGGAACAUCCAUGGCGAAGGCAGCUACCUGGACCAACACUGACACUGAGGCACGAAAGCGUGGGGAGCAAACAGGAUUAGAUACCCUGGUAGUCCACGCCCUAAACGAUGCGAACUGGAUGUUGGGUGCACUUUGGCACGCAGUAUCGAAGCUAACGCGUUAAGU
rnacentral:rRNA from 6 species